GAUGAACGCUGACAGAAUGCUUAACACAUGCAAGUCGACUUGAAUUUGGGUUUUUAACUUAGGUUUGGGUGGCGGACGGGUGAGUAACGCGUAAAGAACUUGCCUCACAGCUAGGGACAACAUUUGGAAACGAAUGCUAAUACCUAAUAUUAUGAUAAUAGGGCAUCCUAUAAUUAUGAAAGCUAUAAGCGCUGUGAGAGAGCUUUGCGUCCCAUUAGCUAGUUGGAGAGGUAACGGCUCACCAAGGCGAUGAUGGGUAGCCGGCCUGAGAGGGUGAUCGGCCACAAGGGGACUGAGACACGGCCCUUACUCCUACGGGAGGCAGCAGUGGGGAAUAUUGGACAAUGGACCAAGAGUCUGAUCCAGCAAUUCUGUGUGCACGAUGAAGUUUUUCGGAAUGUAAAGUGCUUUCAGUUGGGAAGAAAGAAAUGACGGUACCAACAGAAGAAGUGACGGCUAAAUACGUG
rnacentral:rRNA from 1 species